CGAGUGUAUGAUGGACAGUGCUUACUUUGUUGGAAGAAACAAGAUUCUCGGUGGUUGGCUAUGAUGAAUAUUGGUUAUUUAAUGAAGGGACACAUGAGAAGAAGAAGAGACGAUUGAGCUAUGUCUCUCACUCUCUUUCAGAUUUUGUAUUGAUUGUGAUUUCAUACCCAGAUUUGUAUAAUCCAAAUUUUUUUCCAGAUCUGAGUGACAGAGAAGCUUGAACAAGAAGAGAAUGGAGGAGACGGAGAGAAGUGAUGGAUUCAACAGAGACGACACAGAGGAUUUCAAUGAAGCUUGGAGACAGGGAGGAGUUAUCACCGGAGUGGUGCAGCAAACCUGUAUUUUUGUGUUUUCUUUGUAAGAAACAUAACUCAG
rnacentral:lncRNA from 1 species